rnacentral:lncRNA from 7 species
CCUUUGAAAGCUCCUCACUCAACUUGUCCACCCUUUGGUGAUUAUUUCCUUUGGAAAUAGUUUUCUUAAAAACUACCUGGAUCUUAAGAACUUCACAUGCAGAGGACUGCUUUUGGGGUCCAGGAGUUUGAAACAGAAUAAGAUACUACAUUAGCCAGUGACCUGAAAUAAAAGCAAAUGGAACUCAGAAGAGCUUGCAGGGGUCAGGCAGUCCACGAUCUCCCUUACAGCCAGCUCCGUUUUACCCAGGCCAUUACUAGAAAAUGUCAGUUUGCCUUGUUCUUAAGAACAUCUCCUUAAAAACAUCCUCAAUCCUGCUACCUCAAGAAGCCAACUGUUCUGUAAGAUUUUUUGCUGGAAGUUAAGGGACUGCUCCUGCACUUCUCAAAGACAUAGCAAAGAUUCCCUGGAAGAAGAGUUUAUAAAACAAGAAAGCCAUAGAGAAGAUGAUGAGAGAGAAAGGGCAGAAGUGGAGCAGAAGAGGGAGAAAACUCACCAGUGAGAUUGCACAGAUGUUCAGCAGGGAAGAGAGCAUUGCCUGGUGGAAGGAAGCAGCUAUUAAAUGGAAAAUAAAUAACUGUCAAGCCCUGUUGUUGUGGAAGAAAGAAGAGGGCAUAGGGAGAGGACUGCAUUUGGAUUGUCUGUUUUGCAUCCAGUAUGCAGCUGUGAUAGAACAAGAGUCAUGGGUUAAAGCAGAGGACUUGUUCAGUUCAUCUUGGUUCAUGCUCAAACUCUCACUAGAGAAGAGUGGUGAGUCAUAUACAGUGGUCCACGCAUGGGAUGCUAACUUCAGGAGACAGUUGCCCAGCCAUGGAAGGAGGGAAAAGACUUGAUAACAGCUCUCAGGAGGUUUGAGCAUCUCUGUGGUAAUGUCCCUGAAAAUGUGUAAUGUCAACCAGGAGUGAAAAUCUCUGCAGGGAGGAAGGAAAACACAGUGUCUUUGGUUCACAUCACUCCAUGGAGAGGAGGCUCUUGAUGCACAACGAAGCCCUUAUAUAUGUCAGUGACCGAAGGAAAGCUGAAGACUAAAGGGGGUGGAGGAAAAGUGCAUUAAAAUAAUAAAAAAUGUGUUAUGAAAUUUCAGUCAAAUGUAUGUAAAUCUUUAUUAAUUAAAGGACUUCUCAAC